UCAUGGUUCUGUACAACAUUCUGCACUUCUUCUCUAACCAAAACAGCGCGUCUUGUUCUUUUUAAUUUGUGUUGAUAAUCUAUUUAAAUCAUUGCAGUUUCUAUGCAACUAUGACAUUGCACAAUUUCGAACCGUCAGAAUUUAAUCAUUACAUUUUUCGGAAAUUUAUUUUCAGAAGGGCAAUCGCUUUUUAUUCAUAUAUAUAUUUUUUCUCACUUAAUUUUUAAAAAUGACUACGGAAAUCAGACUGAAAAUAUAUGUGUUAUUCUUCGUAGAUAAACACGGACAGAUCUAGUAUCUAUACAAAUACCGGAAGAGACGCGAGUACAAAAAUAAUGAAAUCGUACAUGUUAUUGAACUAAUCCGCAUACUCAGAUAACCAUAAUUUCCGGUAUUUCCAGCCAUACAUUUAUUUACUGUUAACGGAAUUCGUCAAAAGGUGUCUGUGACUGGUUAUCUUCAGGGCCUUUAGCCCUAUUUUUUUCCAAGGUUCCCAAUAAUCGAGGAAAAUGGUUUUCAAAUUAUUCUGUCUCGCACUUGUGGCCUGUACUCUAGUUCAGGCUGCGCCACGAGGGAGGUCAAACGCAUCAAACGGCCAGGAAGAGUCUGUGGCAGACGUUAUCACCAACACUCAAAAACAGUUCAUUGCUGACAUAAAUGCUAUUCUCGACAUCAAAAGGGCAGCAGCAAAGCAAUUCUUAAAAGCACCAACUCCCAAACCUAUCGACCCCAAAAGUGUUCUUUUGUUGACAAAGGAAGAAAUUGAAAAACAGUCGCAAGGCUCUCCGGAAACGGAUCUCGUCCUUUUAAGCCGUUAAAGCACUACGAGGAGAGCACUUGUUGAUUGAUCAACAGAAGAGUCAUCAACGCUUUAUAAGAACUGUCAUGAACAACCAAAAAGUAUUUUCUUAAAUUGUAUCAUUAAAAAUAAGCUAUGUUAAUAUGUAAUUGUUACAA